UACGGGGGGGCAAGCGUUGUUCGGAAUUACUGGGCGUAAAGGGUGCGUAGGCGGUUCGCUAAGUUGGAUGUGAAAACUCUGGGCUUAACCCAGAGCCUGCAUCCAAUACUGACGAGCUAGAGUUCUGGAGGGGGUAGCGGAAUUCCUGGUGUAGCGGUGAAAUGCGUAGAUAUCAGGAGGAACACCGGUGGCGAAGGCGGCUACCUGGACAGAAACUGACGCUGAGGCACGAAAGCUAGGGGAGC
rnacentral:rRNA from 1 species